GGACUUCGGAUUGAGUGUUUCGCGGAACAGGCAGGGGUCAUAUAACAAAGAUCAGGGAAGCUAUAUGUUUUGGGUUCGUUCAACUGUGUAUAAGCUUCUAUUAUGAAUUUGGAUUGCCUUGCAAUGUGUUGCGAAAUUUGGGGAUUCCUAUUGAAAUUGACGGAUAUUUAAUCGCAUUUUCUACAUUGUGAAAUCGACAUUAGACGGUGAACUUGCCCCUGGCAUUGUUCGUUUGGUGUUCUUCAAGAUCCGGCACUUGCCACUUAUAUAUUGACUCUGCAGUGUAGGCCACACAACACAGAUUGCACAGGUGCUUGGCUGGAACAGAUCGUCUUUGAAUCUUCGUGUUCUUGCUCCUUGGUCUUCUGCUACACCUUUUCUCGAUCUCUCAUUCUCAUACCCUGCAACAUCACAGGAUCGAACACGAUAAAUUAUGCCUGAGAAGAAGGACAUUAUGAAAACCAUCACCACGGACAACAUCAGUCACACGAAUGUUGAUAAUAAUGACAGAUUAAACGCAAGGAAUAUGCAAAUAACACAGUCGGACUUGAGACGAAAUGAAGGAGAGGGAAACAUUGACAGCGUCCAACUCUCAAGACAGAACAGUAAAUCAGUCACCAAGAACGAACGGUCAAGCGCCAACUACGAUGGAUGGGGGCCAGUCUUUAAAUCAAGGCGGGAUUUCGUCGACAUGCAUCUCUUUUGAUUCAUCGAUUUUGACAACGAAGGCAAAUAAAAUUUAGCAAAAUAUACAUUUUAACAACAUCGUUUACAGCAAGACAAGUCUUAUGAAUAAAUAAAACUGCAUUUUUUCGGGGCAUGAUGCCACAAAAUAGGAAGGAUCUGGCGAUGUAGACCAAUUCGUACUGUCAUAUCGGAAUUGCUUCUACUUCUAGAAUGAAAAGAGCUUUAAAGAUGCAGAAAUCAGAUCUGACAUAAUAUUCAGAUGUGAUGUGAUGCUGACAACCAUCUAUAAACCGCAAUAUGACGUAGUUACUUGCCUGUGGGCUGAACUUUUCCUCGAUCUCAUUUCAUGGGGCCAUGUAUCAUUGAAAUGAAAUUAGUGAAAUAUAAUGGGACAAGUGCAUGUUCGUGUAUUAGAGAAUUAUUUUGACCUUUUAAAAAAAAUUGUACUAAUUGAAGGUAAGUUUGAAGAAAACGAUGUAUAAAUUUAAUCGCACAGUAUUUUAAUCUUUUUGACACAAUGUACAUGUAAAUAUUUCAAUGUAUUUGCCUAUAUUAGGCGUUUUUUUAUGCCAACUUGAUCUUUUUAGAAAUAUUAUUUUAACUGCUGUAAGAUUAGUUAUUUCUGCCAAAGGCUAUGGACCAAAUGAUAGGACAAGUCAUUAGGCCUAUAUUAUAUUGCCUUCCAACAAAUAAAUAUUGUUUUUGUCAAAGUUAAUUUAAGUACUGAUAUUAUAUGCCAUUAUAUAUCCCAUAAUAAUUUGCUGCAAAAAUAAUUUAAUGUUGUGUUCAAUGCCAUGGACUCCAUUAUUUUAAUUGCUAAAAAUAUAUGUACAGUAUAAGCAGGGAAUCCCUGGUAUAAGACAAUGACAAUAAAAGAAUAGUUUUUAGUUGGGGAAAGAAGCGUGUACAUUUUUAGGAAAUUUGCAACAAUUAAAUACAUUAUCUACAUUCCCCAAAGCUUUUCAACAAAGCUUUUUUUAUGGAUUCAGCCGAAUUAGAUAGGCAAUUUCUGUAAUGUGAAAAAAUUGAUUCACCGUAAUUUAGAAUAUUUUACCAAAUAUUUGCAAUAGUUGAAAUAUCUUGAAGGUUUACUCUAAUUUACGCAGUUUUAAUGUUUUAAGAUGUAUAUAGCAGUCAUAUUGUUGUCACACACAGUAAGGUUGUACAACGGAUAGGAUUUUUAUCAAAUAUUUUGUUUACAAAAUCGAUGAUUCGAAGUAGUGCUAAGUUUUUAUUCAAAGAAAUAGUUUUACUUUUGAGUGACGAGUAAAAAAAAGUGCUCAAUACCUGUAGUUCCAUUUUAUUUUUCAAUCGCAAUAGGCCUAAAAAAAUACUGAAAAUGAAGAAUUUAUUAUCAUUCCAGAUUAAUCUAAGAGUUUAAUAUUUUAUCUUAACGGUGGUUGUGUUUGUGUUUAAUAUAUAAUUUUGCUUGUGUCUGAUGUUCUCGAUGUAAUUAAGCGCAACUUUCUCUGUUGAUCUAUUGUUGGAAAAGGGCUUCUUCAUGUACCUCUAUUAGUCCAAGGAGAUAUCUCCUUGAUUAGUCAAUGCCUACAUACAAGCAUUAGAUAAACAGCGCCAUCUUUGAUGAAAAUUGUACAACUUUUAAAGAAAAAAAUAUAUAGCAUUCAUCUUCAACGUCAUUUCCACAGUCAGCCCCUUCGGCAUCCACAUUAAUAAUUCUCGGAGCGUAAUUACUCAAUGGAUAUAGUUUAUAUUAUGAGAAUUAUUUUAAAACUAAAAAAAAAAGUUUAUUCACAAAUAGAUGGCUGAUUAUAUUUUCAUUUGUUUUGUAGUUGAACUGAAAUGGGAACGUCUUUUAAAAUAAUCUGUUUACAAUGUUCUAGCGGUGUUAAGAUUUCAGAAUGAAUGGAAUGAAUUACUAAUGAACGUUUUCUCGAUUCGUACACUAGCCCCUUAAAAAUACGAAAUGUGAAAUCAACAUUUGAAAGGCUGGAGGAGUGACACUCUUUCUAAAUGUUGCAUUUACCACUUUAAAUGGUUCGACCCAACACUUAAAAUGUUGAAUUCAGCUUUAUGCACUUGGUUAGAUGCAUGUAAAACAUUUGGAAAAGGUUGUCACUCCAACUGUAAAAAUGUUGAUUUAGCUUUUAAUUUUUAGAGUAUGUUUUUUAUUCAUUUCAUUAUGACUUGUUUACUUUCAUAUAGUCUUUCAAUGGUUCUGCCGAAGUAUUCGUAAUUGUCUCGAUGUAGGGUCUUUUUACCUUUAAUACGAUAUUUUUAGUCAACGUAUAACGCAGUAAACGGUUUAAAUUUCGUUAUCACGUCAGAGGCUGCCCCAGUUCCGAUUUUGUUUUCAAUAUUCCUCUCUUUCUCAAGACUGAUUAUCACUUAGACCGUCUUUAUGUCAAAAUUACGAAACAUCGGAAAGAUGUGAUUUCAGAUCAUUGCAUGUUAUUUUACUCAAAUUGUAAGUAAACUCUCCAAUUAGGGGUGUCCUUUAAUACUGAUUGGGCGAUGAUAUACUGGAGCUCAACUUCGGGCGUGGGCGAAUUUUUCGGAUUUUUUUUCUUUUCAUGACUGUAUACGCACUGUGAAAACUUCUUUCAAAUAAAAUAUACUGUAUACGAUGUGUUCCAAGACAAUGUAUUAUAACGUUUACACACGUGAAUAAACUAUAAAUUAUCCUAAUAUUACUUUUAUAUUCGUUAAUGAGUUCAUUUAUUUACAUGUUUUACAUUAAAAUAAGGGUGAUGUCGAACAGAAACCCAACCUACACUUGAAUACGAUUGCAUUUAUGAGCACCGAAAAUGCGGCAAUAAUAAUUCCAUUUGAUUCAUGUGGGGGGGGGGUUAAAAAAACAAGACUCGAAUCAUACAGCCGCUUUAUCCGCAAAACAAAAGCAAGGAAUCGACUUACGAAUUAUUCGAUCUAGGCAGCCCCAUUUCUUAAACUCAAAGAUCCAUUACCAUCAACAGAUAUAAUAUGAUUUAGAGAAAGUUUGCAGAAUCCCUCAUGCGAUUAUCCUUUAAAGAAAAGCAAAUGCAAAAUACACAAAUUAAUGAGUUUAAAAGAAUAAAUUACACUCACCUUAUUAUUCCCUUGUGGCGUGGUGACAAGAAUAGUUCACUCAUUAUUGUGAUUGGUAUUAAUAAUGGCCACAGGCGAUUAUCCCAAGAAUAAAGGGGGACGGUGGGCGGGGACAUGUCCCAGGGGGGUCGUCAGGUUAUCAUCCCCUCGGAUUUUAGAGCUUUAUUUUUAUUUUCGUUUACUCUAUGUGCAACAUGAAAUAUGAACCAAUCACUUCUAUAUGAUUAUGUUUUUCGACGAAGAGUCUAUUUUUGUAGUAAAAAUAACUAACUUUUUUUCAAUUUUAUUUCGCGACAUUUUUAAACUAACACAAAAUCUAACACCGAAACCUCAAAUGCAGAUUGGGGCCGUGAUGUCUUGAUGCCCUCCCCCCCCCCCCCCUCAUUACAUAGAAUCGCAGCCACUGAUAAUGGCUGUGUCCUCGAGGUUAUCAAUGAUUAUAUUCCUUGUGAGACCAAUUGAAAUUGAGUAAACAACAUAUUAAGAGAAAGCACCGGGCGAUGAAGAUAUAAGUUGUAACAUAAGGGAAUAGAUAUAAUGAAUGCCGAGGCGUUGAUAAUGAAUGACCCAUCAUUAUAUCCAACGAAUUGAGCGCCACUAUUUACAUUAUUAUUACCCAUCUUCAUCACCACAAUAACGUCAUCUUCGUCAUCGUCGUUUUCAUAACGGUCCAUAGGAAGCAAAACAGACUGAAAACAUAAAUGAUAUAAUUUUUCUAUGGGUUCCUGUGACGAUGAAUCGAUUCAUGACAUAAGUGAUUUUUAAGUAAUAUAAUCAUCGUAAUCAGUCUAAUUAGCAUAAUGAGCUAAUUAGUAUAAGUGUAAUAUAUAGGUAUUUGCGAAAGUCCAUCCAGAAAACCCCCAAAUCUUUGAUAAUACUGCUCCUUAUGGUUUUCUAUGGCGAGGAAUUCAUUUAUGACAUCAUUGUUUUUCCACUUUAACCAAUGAUAUCAUUGUAAUUAAAAUUAGCAUAAUGAGCUAAUGAGCAUAAUAUGUGCAAUAUGUAUAUUUUAUCAAAGUACUGUCUAUAACGGCCAGAAAACAUAAAUUAUGCAUCUAUUCUAUGGUGACGAGGCAUUCAUUAUUUUAUGACAUUACUUUUCGCUUUUGAUCAAUGUAGGCAUUGUAAUUAACAUAAAAGCUAAUCAACAUAUAAUACUGCUCUUCUAAUGCUUUCUAUGUUGAGGAAUUGAUUUAUAACACCUAAUUUCCCUUUUAACCAAAGACAAUUUCUUAAUCAGAAUAAUCACCAUAAUUCACUAAUAAACAUCUAUGUGCAAUAUAUAAAUAUAUAUAUUCCUUUGUUAUUUUAUAUCAGGAAUGAAUGAAAACAUGAAUAAUACAGCUAUCCUCUUGUUUUGUAUGACGAGGAAAUCAGUAUGACAUUAUUUUUUCCCUUUGAAUAAAAGUAGGCAUUGUAAUUAGCAUAAUUGGCAUAAUGCGCAAUAUAAAAUAUUUUUUCUGUCACUGCAUUGCCUAAAACGGCUUGAAAACAUCUGAUAAAACAGCUUUUCUAAAGUUUUCCACGACAGAGAAUUCAUUUAUGACUCGAGUUUUCAUUUUUUUAUUUAAUGUUAUAGUUUUAAUGAACAUAAUCAGCAUAAUGCACUAUACGUUUUUUCUUUAAAAAAUACGUUUUUUUUUUAAUCGUAAUUUAUUGAGAAAAAUCAUCUUUAUAUGUCUCUAUUUCAUAAAACUUACACAAAUAUGGUUAUUAGAUCAAUGUAAUUUCAGGUAACUUGUUUUUUUUCAAUCAAUUUGUUAAAACCAGGGUGAGAUAUACAUAUGUUUAAAUGUUUUUUUUUUCAUCUGCAAGAGCAGUGCGCAUUUUAGCUUGCAUGCAGCUUGAGCGCCGCGAUGAGUGAGUGCGCCACGUAUUUUAUUGUUUUAAUUAUGAAAAACACUUUAUGGGGGAAAAUACGCUUUUUUCUAUCACAUAAUACACUUUUUCAUUCCCAGAGGUUGGCAGGUCUGAUUUAGGCUUUUCCAAAGAUUCUCCUUUUCCAUUAUCAACCUUUUGUAAAUAAUUAACAUUUUGUAUGCAUUAGUGUUAAUAUGUAAAUAUGUGUAUGUACAUGUGCAAUGUUUGAAAUAAUUGUGUGAAUAUAUUUUUAUGAGAAUGGAAUAAAUAAAUGAUCAAUAAUAAAACAAUUGUCAUUAAUCGAUUCCAU